rnacentral:rRNA from 1 species
GACGAACGCUGGCGGCGUGCUUAACACAUGCAAGUCGAACGGAAAGGCCCUGCUUUUGUGGUGUGCUCGAGUGGCGAACGGGUGAGUAACACGUGAGUAACCUGCCCUUGACUUUGGGAUAACUUCAGGAAACUGGGGCUAAUACCGGAUAGGAGCUCCUGCUGCAUGGUGGGGGUUGGAAAGUUUCGGCGGUUGGGGAUGGACGCGCGGCUUAUCAGCUUGUUGGUGGGGUAGUGGCUUACCCAGGCUUUGACGGGUAGCCGGCCUGAGAGGGUGACCGGCCACAAGGGGACUGAGAGAGGGCGCAGACUGCAACGGGGGGCAGCAGUGGGGAAUAUUGCACAAUGGGCGGAAGCCUGAUGCAGCAACGCCGCGUGCGGGAUGACGGCCUUCGGGUUGUAAACCGCUUUCGCCUGUGACGAAGCGGGAGUGACGGUAAUGGGUAAAGAAGCACCGGCUAACUACGUG